rnacentral:rRNA from 1 species
UAUAGCAACUAUACGGUGAACUGCGAAUGGCUCAUUAAAUCAGUUAUCGUUUAUUUGAUAGUACCUUACUACUUGGAUAACCGUGGUAAUUCUAGAGCUAAUACAUGCUAAAAACCCCGACUUCGGAAGGGGUGUAUUUAUUAGAUAAAAAACCAACGCCCUUCGGGGCUCCUUGGUGAUUCAUAAUAACUAAACGAAUCGCAUGGCCUUGCGCCGGCGAUGGUUCAUUCAAAUUUCUGCCCUAUCAACUUUCGAUGGUAGGAUAGUGGCCUACCAUGGUAUCAACGGGUAACGGGGAAUUAGGGUUCUAUUCCGGAGAGGGAGCCUGAGAAACGGCUACCACAUCCAAGGAAGGCAGCAGGCGCGCAAAUUACCCAAUCCCGACACGGGGAGGUAGUGACAAUAAAUACUGAUACAGGGCUCUUUUGGGUCUUGUAAUUGGAAUGAGUACAAUUUAAAUCCCUUAACGAGGAACAAUUGGAGGGCAAGUCUGAUG